rnacentral:misc_RNA from 1 species
GUGAAUCAUCGAAUCUUUGAACGCACAUUGCGCCCCGUGGUAUUCCGCGGGGCAUGCCUGUUCGAGCGUCAUUUCAACCCUCAAGCCUGGCUUGGUGUUGGGCGCGGCCCGCGGGCCGGCCCCAAAGGCAGUGGCGGCGCCGCCGGGCCCUGAGCGUAGUACUCCUCUCGCUCCAGGGUCUCGCGGUGGCCGGCCAGAACCCCCCUCCUCGGUUGACCUCGGAUCAGGUAGGGAUACCCGCUGAACUUAAGCAUAUCAAUAAGCGGAGGA